rnacentral:rRNA from 1 species
GAUGAACGCUGGCGGCGUGCCUAAUACAUGCAAGUCGAGCGAACGGACGAGAAGCUUGCUUCUCUGAUGUUAGCGGCGGACGGGUGAGUAACACGUGGAUAACCUACCUAUAAGACUGGGAUAACUUCGGGAAACCGGAGCUAAUACCGGAUAAUAUUUUGAACCGCAUGGUUCAAAAGUGAAAGACGGUCUUGCUGUCACUUAUAGAUGGAUCCGCGCUGCAUUAGCUAGUUGGUAAGGUAACGGCUUACCAAGGCAACGAUGCAUAGCCGACCUGAGAGGGUGAUCGGCCACACUGGAACGGAGACACGGUCCAGACUCCUACGGGAGGCAGCAGUAGGGAAUCUUCCGCAAUGGGCGAAAGCCUGACGGAGCAACGCCGCGUGAGUGAUGAAGGUCUUCGGAUCGUAAAACUCUGUUAUUAGGGAAGAACAUAUGUGUAAGUAACUGUGCACAUCUUGACGGUACCUAUCAGAAAGCCACGGCUAACUACGUG